AACAAGAUGGAAGCUGCG
rnacentral:siRNA from 1 species